AGCCGUUGGCUGCUCCGAACCGUUUGGCUCCUUCCCUUAGUAACAGCUUUUACCUUCUGCCUCAAUUCCUCUUCCAUCUAAAUCACACACACACACAGAGAUUACUGCCCUCCCCCCUCGGGACUUCAUCUCUCCUCCCUUCCCCCCCGGCUUGGGAUACCAUUGACUAUCACAGCACCCUUGGGGGGCUAUUGAUCCCCCCCCUUUUUCUAUUUUGUUUUUGUUUUUUUGCUUGGAGUGGGCACCUCAGCUGAGAGGGAGCGUGUAUGUGUCCCUAGCUGUGUAAAGAGGAGGAAGCCCAGGGUGCAUUUCUUUUGCCUCCAUUGCAAAGGAAAAGGGGGGAGGGCAAAAGCAGCCACUCAGCCAUCAGCUACCAGCAUCAUCUUCCUGUGACUGGAGGCAGCAGACAGGAGAACUUCCCUACAUCAAUGCACUGCCAAUGGUGGUGUAAUACCAAGGGCUGCACUGCUGCCACAUCACAAUUUUGUGAGGUUUCAGAGAGUAGUUCUGGCACUGCUCAUCCAAGUAACCCAGAAAUUCCCGGCCCUGCUGCUCCAGAAACUACCACUACCAGCUCUUUUGUCCUAGGUACCCUCAUAUGCACCCGCCCUGGAAAUUCCCAACAGCAGCAGACCUCCCCCUAA
rnacentral:lncRNA from 1 species